AAAAGAAGAAACUACUGAAAAGAAAGAUAAAAUGCAAAACCUGCCAUCAUGACAUGACGCUGAAGAGAAGAUCAAACAGUGGAGAUCAAUUUGCCUGGAUCUGCUGACAUCCAGUCCAUUUGGGGAGGCCAAAACAAACAUCUGUCAGGCACAACUCCAUAUUCAGGCGAUCCAAAGUAUCUUUGAGAAAGUGGAUACAUUUUAUGUACAGGUUGUUUAAAAAAAAAACCAUGUAACCACAAAUAUUAUAUUACAUUGCAAUUCUGAAUACUUUUUCCUUGAUACAAAAGUACAUUUUAUUUUGUCUUUUCAGAUUUUGUCAGGGUCUAAGAUUAAGGCAGAUUGAUAUGAUGGCUGAUGAUAUUGCAGUCAGUUCAGCAACACUCAGCAAAAUGGCAAAAAAAUUAAGGGAUGUCUGUGUGACAGCAGUUGAAAGGAUGAGAAGACGCACAGGCCAACUGAUUGGAGGAAGAAGGGAAUUUGUUGUUAUUGAUGAAAGCCAUUUUCGACACAAAAGAAAGUAUGGAAGAGGAAGAAUGACUGGUGGAUGGAAAAGAAAGCAGUGGGUCUUUGGGAUGUUAGGUGUCCAACAUGACCAGGGAAGACAAAAGCCAAGCCAAUUCUACGUCUUGUUGAAAAAAGAUCUAGGAGGCAUCUAGUGCCUUUGAUUGCUCGUCAUGUGAGGUUAGGAUCAUCAAUUAUCAGUGAUGAGUGGCGUGCUUAUCGCAUACUCCCUGAUUUAGGGUACAACCAUCACACUGUCAACC